UCCCAGGUAGCUUAAUGGUAGAGCACCUGACUAGCAAUUGGGGAAUCUGGGCUAUAUUCCCGGCCCGAGAG
rnacentral:tRNA from 1 species